GGAGGAGUGGCCGAGCGGUUGAAGGCACCGGUCUUGAAAACCGGCGUGCGGGAAACCGUACCGUGGGUUCGAAUCCCACCUCCUCCG
rnacentral:tRNA from 1 species